UACGAGGGGGGCGAGCGUUGUUCGGAAUUAUUGGGCGUAAAGGGUGCGUAGGCGGUUUGGUAAGUCUGAUGUGAAGUCUAUGGGCUCAACUCAUAGUCUGCAUCGGAAACUGGCAGGCUAGAGUGCGGGAGAGGAGAGUGGAAUUCCUGGUGUAGCGGUGAAAUGCGCAGAUAUCAGGAAGAACACCCGUGGCGAAGGCGGCUCUCUGGAACGCAACUGACGCUGAGACGCGAAAGCGUGGGGAGCAAACAGG
rnacentral:rRNA from 1 species